CUAAUGCAGAGCUUCAAGAAAGGCCUCUAAUGGGAAGUGUUGUUUGAGCUACAGUAAGAAUGAUCAGAAGAGUACAAUGAGGUAUCCUACAGCAACAAAAAGAAGGGAAUUGAAGCGAUGGAUGACCAAGGCUACAUCAAUUUCUCAGAUGAGCUAGGCAGAAUGAGAUCAAUUCUCCCCUGCAAUUGUGAGUUUGCCAAGGAAUAAAGCUCUGUUCCCAUGCUCCUGUAUUCCCUCCGUAACUAUACAAGACUGGUAAAAGGUGGGAAGAAGAAAUAGUAGUGAUUGAAAAAAAAGGCAAAAGAAAAUGGCAGAAAACAAACAAACAAACAAAUACAUCCAUCACAGAAUUUCUGGAGAUUAAAUCUGCGUAAACUUACUUCAAACCCUGGUCUGAAAGCUUUUCCAUCGAGGAGAGAGAGAAAGGACUCCGGGUGUGAAUUGAUCCUGAGGGAAACAGUUAACUAGUGAUACCAGGCUCAGAGGCUGCUUGGGAACAGGAACUCACUCAGAGCUACGCCAUGGUAUGUUCCCAUUA
rnacentral:lncRNA from 1 species